ACACUGGUAGUGUAGUGGUUAUCACCAGGCGUUGCCAACGCUUGAACCCGGGUCCGAAUCCCGGCCAGUGUA
rnacentral:tRNA from 1 species